GUGCCAGCCGCCGCGGUAAUACGGAGGAUCCGAGCGUUAUCCGGAAUUAUUGGGUUUAAAGGGUGCGUAGGCGGCCCGCUAAGUCAGUGGUGAAAGACGGUGGCUCAACCAUCGCAGUGCCUUUGAUACUGGCGGGCUUGAAUGUACUUGGGGCAGGCGGAAUGUGGCAAGUAGCGGUGAAAUGCAUAGAUAUGCCACAGAACACCGAUCGCGGAGGCAGCUUACCAAGGUAUGAUUGACGCUGAGGCACGAAAGCGUGGGAUCGAACAGGAUUAGAUACCCUGGUAGUCCACGCCCUAAACGAUGAACACUCGAUGUCGGCGAUAGACAGUCGGCGUCCAAGCGAAAGCGUU
rnacentral:rRNA from 1 species